rnacentral:lncRNA from 1 species
AGGAAAAUUACAUUAAAAAGGACUAAAAGCUACACUAGACUAUUCUUAUAACAAACUAAUUUCUUCAUUCAUUCCAUUUCAUAAUGAUCACAAUGACCAAUCACUUAUUUGAGUUCAUCUUUGCUCCAUUUAGGCGUGCUCAAUUUAUCCCAUUCCAAGACAUAGAUGUAUGUCAUGUGGCAAAAACAAAUUCAAGGGUUGAGAUUAAAAUGUUAAAAUAGAGAAUGAUCCAUGGGAUUCUUCUUCCUUCCUCAAAUUAACUCCAUCGCUACCUUUCUCUCGCUGCCCCUUACCUUCCAUCCCAACCAUUCUCUCGCUGCCCCUUACCUUCCAUCCCAACCACCAGAGAUCAGUUGCUGGAAAAAAAAAUAUACCAGAAAGAGAACCCAAUGUUUUAAGAACAAAUCAACAUCAUGGUUUUCCAAUUAUUUAUUUUUUCUGUUUUUUCUUCUGUUUUCAUUUUCUGGAAUUUAUUUCCCUUUUUAUCAAUUUAGGCCAAUUCAUUCCAAGUGAAGAGAGUUCCAAUUCAACAAAAAUUCCAAUUAAUUUCAUUCUGAUCCAUUCAAAUUUAUCAAUUUCACAGUGAGAGGUUGGUUGUUUUCAUUCACCCAAAUUUCAAAACUAGAUUACGACAGAGAAGAAAAGGGGAAGAUGGGGAAGAGAGUCAUGCUGGGCGGGAGGAAAGGGGGCGCCGGUGAUGGUGACGGUGAUAGUGACAGUGCCGGCGAGGAGAAGGACAGGGGCAGCUAUGAUCAUAGAGAGGAAGAUGGAAGGGUACGUUACACAGAGAAAGAGAAGAGUGUUUUUUGUUUUUACUAAAUAAAGUAUAAUUUUUUACUAUUUAAUCUCAAC